rnacentral:tRNA from 1 species
ACCUUCGUGGUGUAGUGGUCAGCACGCUCGGUGCGUAUUCGAGAGGUCCUAGGUUCGAAUCCUAGCGAGCGCA